rnacentral:rRNA from 1 species
UUUCCGGUUGAUCCUGCCACACGUUACUGCUAUCGAGAUUCGACUAAGCCAUGCGAGUUGAAUGUUCUUCGUGAACAUGGCGGACUGCUCAGUAACACGUGGACAACCUACCCUUGGGUCUGGCAUAAUCCUGGGAAACUGGGGAUAAUUCCGGAUAGGCCACAGAUGCUGGAAUGCGCUGUGGCCGAAAGCUCCGGCGCCCAAGGAUGGGUCUGCGGCCUAUCAGGGUUGUAGUGGGUGUAAUGUACCUACUAGCCUACGACGGGUACGGGUUGUGAGAGCAAGAGCCCGGAGAUGGAUUCUGAGACACGAAUCCAGGCCCUACGGGGUGCAGCAGGCGCGAAAACUUUACAAUGCGGGAAACCGUGAUAAGGGAAUCUCGAGUGCCAGCAUAUAAUGUUGGCUGUCCAGAUGCCUAAAAAGCAUCUGUUAGCAAGGGCCGGGCAAGACCGGUGCCAGCCGCCGCGGUAACACCGGCGGCCCGAGUGGUAACCGCUUUUAUUGGGUCUAAAGGGUCUGUAGCCGGCCAAGUAAGUCCCUUGGGAAAUCUGGCAGCUUAACUGUCAGGCUGCUAGGGGAUACUGCUGGGCUUGGGACCGGGAGAGGUGAGAGGUACCUUGGGGGUAGGGGUGAAAUCUUGUGAUCCUCGGGGGACCACCAGUGGCGAAGGCGUCUCACCAGAACGGGUCCGACGGUAAGGGACGAAAGCUAGGGGCACGAACCGGAUUAGAUACCCGGGUAGUCCUAGCCGUAAACGAUGCUCGCUAGGUGUCAGUCACGGUGCGACCGUGAUUGGUGCCGUAGGGAAGCCGUGAAGCGAGCCACCUGGGAAGUAUGGCCGCAAGGCUGAAACUUAAAGGAAUUGGCCGGGGGAGCACUACAACGGGUGGGAGCCUGCGGGUUUAAAUUGGGAUUCAACGCCGGGAAUCUCACCGGGGGGCGACAGCAUAUUGAGGGUCAGGCUGAAGACCUUACCCGGAUUUAGCUUGAAAGUUGUGCAUGGCCGUCGUCAGUUCGUACUGUGAAGCAUCCUGUUAAGUCAGGCAACGAGCGAGACCCACGUCCACAGUUGCCAGCAUACCCUCCGGGGUGAUGGGUACACUGUGGAGACCGCCGCUGCUAAAGCGGAGGAAGGAGUGGGCAACGGUAGGUCAGUAUGCCCCGAAUCUCCCGGGCUACACGCGGGCUACAAUGGUUGGUACAAUGGGCAUCUACCCCGAAAGGGGAAGGAAAUCUCUUAAAGCCAAUCGUAGUUCGGAUUGAGGGCUGCAACUCGCCCUCAUGAAGCUGGAAUCCGUAGUAAUCGCGUUUCAACAGAACGCGGUGAAUACGUCCCUGCUCCUUGCACACACCGCCCGUCAAACCACCCGAGUAGGGUCUGGAUGAGGGUGUGUUUCCUUGACACAUUCGAAUCUGGGCUUUGCAAGGGGGGUUAAGUCGUAACAAGGUAGCCGU